AUUUCAAUGUUACCCUGACUAUCCAUUUAUCAAAAUGCACUUUGGAGUCUAUGUAGGGCAUGGGCUGAAGAUGGGCAAUUUAUGUGAGUCCCAUGUGUGUUUCACAACGUGGGUCCCAUAUAGGUUUGAACAUAUGGGGCCUUCAUGGGAUCUAUGUGGGCAUGGGCUGAAGAUGGGCAAUUUAUGUGGGUCCCAUGUGUGUUUCACAAUGUGGGUCCCAUAUAGGUUUGAACAUAUGGGACCUUCUUGAAUCUAUGUGGGAAAAAUGAUUUUCAAACUAGGGUCCCAUAUAGGUUUUCGGAACAUAUGGGGCCUUCAUGGGAUCUAUGUGGGCAUGGGCUGAAGAUGGGCAAUUUAUGUGGGUCCCAUGUGUGUUUCACAAUGUGGGUCCCAUAUAGGUUUGAACAUAUGGGACCUUCUUGAAUCUAUGUGGGAAAAAUGAUUUCAAACUUAAAAAACAUCUUUACACCUUUAAACUUUAAACUUAGUCACUUUUUAAACAACAAAUAUAACUGUUUAAUAUUUUAUGGAUCUGAUCAAAAUAACUACUUUUUAAAUGAAAAUGUGUGAAUCAAUAUUUCAAUGUUAGCCUGCCUAUCCAUUUAUCAAAAUGCAUUUUUUUUUUCAAACUCUAGACAGUCUCACAUGGGACCUACCCUCUCAAAUCUUCUGACAACACCUUCCGCUUGACCAAGUAGUCCUGUUGCAUUCAAGUUUUAGUUAGAUUUUUUUUUCACAUAAUAUUAUAUCAUAAUAUCAUAUGUCAUUGAUCUUGGCUGAAAAUAAACAUACAUUUAAAUGUAUAACUGUAAAGAUUUUAAAUAUUCGAACAAAAGGAAUUCCUGCGCUGCAUGGCGCAAGGAUACAGUCUCUUCUAAGCACAGUGGAGCGGCAGCACGGCAGGAGUCACUACUUUUUAACAGUUCACAGACGACGAGUCGGAUCGAAAAUAAGCAGGUGGACUGAAGAAGAAUGCAACGACCAAGACUGAACCAGAAAGGCAUAGAAAAGGUCACAGCAGUAGGGCUGUGCGAUUAAGCGAAUCGCGAUCGUUUGGUUAUACGAGCGCACAUCUGGCAAUGUGGACGAGGCUUGACGCACACGCACAACCUGUGUCAACUCAUGCCUGGUCGCAUCUAAAACAAGUGUAAAUUCAGUCUAACUGCUUUGCUAAUUUCACUUGGAUGAAAUUAAACAUUCAGAUGAAAUUAAACAUUCAGCACAUUUUCCACAAAAAAUCCCAAAUACUUAAAUAUGAAUAAAUCAUCCUAUGUAACCUAUUAAAUACUUGAAUAAUUACCUAAAGUAAUACAGUUCUUUAUUUACACAAAAUAAACUAAUCUUUCCUGUGAAAUUCGGUAAUUAAGUAAAUUCUGUAAAAGUAGUAAUAGCAUUACCAAUAACAAUACCAAUAUUCCCUGCUGAAAAAACCCCCAAAUAGAACCCCUCACAAAUUACAAUAGAAAAUGUAAUGGAUUUAAGUAGUGUCUACUGGUUUUUGAUAGAUUCCAUUGGUGGGAUGUAAUUUGGCAGAUGGGAAACAAUAGAACAACAGUAAUUCCUAUUGGAAUAAUGCCCAAAACACUACAAAAAGGAAUUUUGUAAUUGUUUUAUUGGAAACCAUAAGAAUUUCUAUGAUGGUUUCUAAUGUUUCUUUGUUUGGUUUUUUCAGCAGGGUAAUGAUACUUAUACUGUGCUGCACACUAUUGACAAUAUUAAGCUGAAGCUUGACUUUGCAAAUCAAAUCGCAAUCGCAAUAUCAGUCAAAAAAUAUCGCAAUUAGAUAUUUUCCCCAAAUCGCACAGCCCUACUAAGCAGUCUUCAGGAAUUUGAUCAAUUUUGUGUCCAUCCGUACAAAUUGUUAUGAGUCCAAGUAUUUUAAUGCUGUAUUGUAAGUUAAACAGAGUUUUUGUGUUUUAUGUUGUCAUACUAAGCAGUCUUCUAGGAAUUUGAUCAAUUUUGUGUCCAUCCGUACAAAUUGUUAUGAGUCCAAGUAUUUUAAUGCUGUAUUGUAAGUUAAACAGAGUUUUUGUGUUUUAUGUUGUCAUCUUAAAAGGGUUUCUUAAAAGGGAUCAUCCACCCAAAAUGUAAAAAUCUAUUCUAUCUGUUCUGUUGAUUUAAACCAAGGGUGUCAAACUCUGAUCCUGAGGGCCAAAGCCCAGCAGAGCUUGGCUCCAACCCUAAUUAAAAGUACCUGAUCCAGCUAAUCAAAUCCUUCAGGUUUAUUUGAAAACUAGAUGUUAUGUGUGUUGGAACAGGGUUGGAACUAAAAUCUGCAGGGCUGUGGCCCUCCAGGAUUUUGACACCCCUUCUUUAAACCCAUAAGACCUUCAUUCAUCUCUGAAACACAAAUUAUGUUUUUAAUGAAAUUAAGACAUUUCUGUCACUCCAUUGAAAGUAUAUUCUUGACUUUUUCACACAACUUGAAUUAAAAAGCUCUAUUUAAGUUUUUUUUUUCAUCUUAUUAUUACUGUUUGGAAGUGAACAGACUUUCAAUGAAGCAACAGAAAUUUCCCAGGUUUUUGUUCCCAGUGUCAUUUUGUUCCAAAAAUGAAUUAAUUUCUUAUGGGUUUUUAGGGAUGUUCAUUUUAACCGGUUAACCAUUAACCAACCGUUAAGAAUUUUGACCGAUUAAUACAAUCAGUUAAAUGGUCUAAAAAGUCAUUUAUUUAUUUAUUUUCAGUAAUUUUUCAAAAUAUUUAAAAAGGUUUGCUGCAUUGUUAAAAUAGGCUACACUACACGUAUAAAGUUUUUUGUUUUUUUAAAGGGAAAAAAACAUAAGUCGCUGUAGCCUAUUAAUAAGUCGUAUUUUAUUAUUUCAUUCAGAAAGAGGCCUAAUGCGACGCUUAAUGUUUACAAACAUUAUAAUAAACACUGUAAACAUAGUUAUGCUAUUUUAGUUCCCCUCAAUCCACAACAAAUCCUUUCAAUUAACAAUAUCCUAUUUAAAAAAGAACAAUGAUAAAAAAUAGCCUAUAAAAGGUUAUAGCAACAUUAAUGACAAGCCAAAACGAAACUGAAACCAGUGUUGGGUCUCUCAUUUGACACAAAUGGGUUUGGAGUAACAUGAGGGUGCGUAAUGUCAAAGUUUUCAUUUCUUGACUGUUUUCAUUUUUUUAUUAGUUAAUUAUUUUUUAAUUGGAAACAAAUGUUAGUAUUUUUAAUGGGUCACAGACACUUCUAAUUUAAUUCAAUUCUAAUUUAAAAUAAUCUUGUUGGUUAACGGUUAAUAAUCGGUUAACGAGUGUCGGUUGUCGGUUUGGAAAAAUAACCGAAAUGAACAUCCCUAAUGGGUUUAGAGUAACACGAGGGUGCGUAAUGUCAAAGUUUUCAUUUCUUGACUGUUUUCAUUUUUUUAUUAGUAAUAUUUUUUAAUAUUACAUAAGUUUGGUUAUGUAAAACCAUCCGUUGGGAUAGUAUCAACCUGUUUUAAAAUAAACUGCUAAUCUUGGUGUUUAACAUUUUACAAAAACUUGAAGUUUUAUUGAAAAUGUCUGAAUUAUAAUAAAGUAUUUGAUAUACUUUUACAUUUUAAUAUCUGAUUUUUUUUUUAAUUGCACAUUUUAAUGUUUUGUGAUUUUGUAGAUAAAUGAACAGUGGACUAUUCAAGCAGAUGUAUAUUGUAAGCAGACAUAUGAUUAUGAAUGUUGCCCAGUUGGAACCCACUUAGGUUCUAUAUGAGAUUUAUAUGGGCUAAUUCAUACAGGGCCCACAUAGAACCCGCGGACAAACCCAUCUAGGCCCCAUGUUUACAGCCCAUAUGGGGCCCACAUUGACCCCACAUUUGCUUUGUUGGCUGGGUCAUAAGUGGGACCAAUAUGGGUCUUAUGUGUGUUGCCCAGUUGGGCCCCACAUUAGCCCCAGUCAGGCCCCAUAUGAGAUUCAUAUGGGCUAAUUCAGAUGGGGCCCACAUGGAACCCAUGGAGAGACCCAUGUAGGGCCCAUAUUUACAGCCCAUAUGGGGCCCACAUGGGCCCCAUGAUUGAAUGUUGGCUGGGGUAUGCUUCCAUAGG
rnacentral:lncRNA from 1 species